UACAGAGGGGGCAAGCGUUAUUCGGAAUUAUUGGGCGUAAAGGGCGCGUAGGCGGCUUUGCAAGUGACGGGUGAAAUCCCUCGGCUUAACCGAGGAACUGCCUGUCAAACUGCAUGGCUUGAGACCGGGAGAGGUGAGUGGAAUUCCCAGUGUAGCGGUGAAAUGCGUAGAUAUUGGGAGGAACACCAGUGGCGAAGGCGGCUCACUGGACCGGUACUGACGCUGAUGCGCGAAAGCGUGGGUAGCAAACAGG
rnacentral:rRNA from 1 species